UAGGGAAAAUGUUUGUAUCAUGAAGUAGCCUAAACCUAUCGAUGUUACAUUGAGCUGGGUGAAUGGAGAAUGACUGACAGUCAUCCAAUAUGCUGUAGUAGAAAUAAGGCCAUGCUCAUAUAAUAAAAAAUCGUCCUCCCUCAUCUUAAACGGCACAGAACGCCACUGGUUUCAAGACUGGUGGCAGACCCCCCAGUAAGACCCCCUAGUAAGACCAGAGACUGAUUAGCUGGGGGACUUGUUGACCAGGAUCAUUGAUAGCCAGCAACCCCUGGAAGGUAUCCCUGAUGAUGACUAUUUGGACAGUUCAGAUGGGGAACAGUUCCAAUCCUCAUUUAGUAGGACAUUCAUUCAACAUGUGCCAUCUCCGGACUGCAGAGUAUAUGUAAAGUCAUCUCUUGCAACACCAUAAUACACAUUAUUUAAUGAACUCAACUCUUGAAUAAGUAAUGUUCUGUAUUGCAGCAAGGUAAUCAUUUUCUAGAGGCAGAUGAUCACCAUAGCUUGGACAGGAUGAAGGGCAGAUAGGAUGAAGGUUAGCCAGUUACAUCUGCAGCAGCCAGGAGGGAAGAUUGCCUUUGUCACUAACCUGGGCCGGAGGACAAAGAGGCUGAGCAUGCAUGAGAAACUGCCAUGGAAUUUCAUGAGCACAAACUAAUGCAUUUAAAAGGAGAACAUGAUAUGAAGAUGCAAAUCCUGCAUGUUGAGUUGGCUAUGAAGGAGGAGGAUUCUGAAGCAGCAGCAGUACCAGUGUUCUUUUCCGACCAGCACCAGUUCGGGGUCCCGAUAUCUCCAUUUGUGAAUUAUAAACCUUUUUGUUACCAAUCCAUAUUGUUUGCUUCCAUCCCUUAAACUGCAUAUUCGAAGCAUGGCUAGUCCCUUUCUGUCAUUGUCUGCCUCAACCAUGGGAACAUCUGGGUCAUCCUCAUCUUCAGUGCUAGGAUCUGGACAGCCAUGCUGUUUGAGAAUGUUGUGAAGCACAGCUAUUGCAAUUAUGACAAUGCAGCUCUUCUUGGUUGAAGCACAAUGUGUUUAAUACACCAAACUAGACCUCUGGUUGGAUAUGAGCUUGGUUGUACUUUUGUUGCUCAGGUCCUAUUGCAUGAAGAUAGGGGGUGAACAUGAAGUUGUCACCAAAUAUGAUUUCACUAUGUUGUCCUCCUUCAAGCUGAGCAUUCUAAAAGUAGUUUUGGAAAAUCCUUGAGUCGUGAGUAGUACCUUUCCAAUGUGCAACAAUGUUGGAGAACUGCAAAUUGGGAGUGUCUUUCAGUUCACAUAUAGCAUUGCAGACUGUGUGGCCUAUUCUGCAUAUAGUCAGUUCACUUACACCACACACAUUUCCUGUUUCACAAUGGAAGGUUCCAGACGCUAAAAAGCUCAAGGUGAUCAGUACUUGUAGGGAAGGAGGGCUAUGCCUUCCCCUAAGAGAGUCAGAUGAAAGCCUUGGCUAAAGCAUUAUGUCAGCUACAUUUUCUUUGUACACACAGAAACGGUCACAGAAAUGUAUUUAAUACAAAUCAUUCAGUGGGUUGCUCCUGUCUAUAACCACCCUUCUGUCUGGUCUUGGUGGUGCUCUUUGAUCUUAAUUGAAAUAGUCCAGGUAAUCCAUUUUCCUCCAUUGCCAAGGUCAACCUGGGGGCUAACGUCCAUUAAUCUGAAAUGUUAUCCUGCCUCUGGCCAGGUUUCAUUUAAGCCUUCACUUAGAUCUAGCUUAACUCUAAUCGUCCUUCUGGAAAUCAGACUUUUUAAAUCUACACUAGGGGAAAUCUGAGACUAUUUUUAAACCAUGUCUGAGAAAUGCCAUUUCAGGUAGUCCAGUUUAAAAAUCCAAUUUAGGGUUGGAUUAGGCUUAAUCUGUGUCCGCAAAACCACCCCUAUGACAAUACAUUUCAGAAGGCCUUUCUUUGAGGGCCUAGUUACACCCGAAAAUCCAAUUUAUGGUCAUUCCAGAAUCUGCAAUGGCCAUCCAGCAUUUACUGAGAUGAGGCCUCUACAGAAGUCAGGGCAUUCAUACUUCUUGUGCUUUGCAGAGCUGUUGUGAAGGAAGUUGUCAAGGAAGUGAGUUUGUGUUUAUAUAGGACGAGGACGUACCGCCCCCACCUACCGUCAACCAAUCACGUCAAUGCUGAGCUAUACAGAGCCCUCCACAUUGUUAAAACUUUUGGGAGGUGCACAGCAAUGCGGUACAGAGCUUGAUUUGGCCUCUGCAAGCAUCCAGAGACUCCUCAAUUGCGUCACCCCCUCCAUACGGAGCCUCCAGACCGCAUUGCCGAUCAAGCAUAAAUCGGCUUUAACGCAGUGGUCUGAAACUCCUGGUUUCCAGGCCACAUCAAGCCUGCAAGUCUCAUAUGCUGGCUUGCAAAGUGAUGUUAUUCCUAUUGGAAUCCAGUGUGAGGCUAUCCAACAAUUGUAACUUUUUAUCACCCUUACCCUGCAUUGAGAAUGACUGCCAGGGUAGUGAAGACUUGAUUGAGACUGCUUAAAUCAUGGGUGUCUAACUCAUUCCAUGGAGGGCCUAGUGUCUGCAGGUUUUUGUUUGUUCCUUUCAAUUAAGACCUAGACAACCAGGUGAGUUCUUCAUUAAUUAGUGACUUUAAAUCAUCAAUCAAGUACAGUACAAGGGAGGAGCAAAAACCCACAAACACUUGGCCUUUAGUAGAAUGAAUUAAAUAUGUAAUUUAAAUCAAAUAAACUGGAACAGCCAUCUCAGUAACGGGUGCAAAAUUUACAACUACUAACAGAUUGGAAAAAUUUGUAUAACAUAAGUUAUUGAAGUUUGUGUAGCAUAAGAUUAAUCAACCAAUCAACAUACACAUGCAAAAACACAGGUUUUGAAACAAACAAUUCUGAAAACAAACCUUCAAUAGAGCAUGCUGGGAAAUAUAAUGAUGGGUGUGGUUUUGAGCAAACAUACAUUUGUCAUUUUACUCAACAAGCUUGUUCAAUUUCAGCUCACUUAAAGCUGAGUUUGAGUUAACAAACUUUAGCACAUUAGCUGAAGUUUUUGUUAAUUUGAUGUCAGGUGUACUCAACUCACAAAUGAACGCUGAUUAAGCAAUUGGUUAAAUUGUCUUUUUUGCAAGUUUUAUUAGCCAUACACAUGGUACACUAUACACCAUCCAAUGAAACGCUUACUUGCAGGAUCCUGGACAACAAUGCAACAACAACAAAUAAUAAAAGAUAAGAAUAAGAACAAAGUAAAUGGCUUAGUAGAAAAAAAACAUUUUAGCGUAAGUGUAAUGCAGGAAGGCACAAUUUAUAGUCCAAUAUUUACACGUGUUUUGGAGAAGGGGUGAUUGUGCAGUAUUUAGGAAUCAUAACAAGACUUUAGUAGCAGCAGUUGUGAUGUGUGUCUGUGUGGGUGUUUUUUAUUUAUUUAUUAUUUAACUGCGAGUGAGUGAGUGAGUCCAUGUGUGCUAAGGUGUGGCAAAUCAGAGCAGGUGAUCAGUCGAGUUCAAGUGUUCAGCAGUCUGAUGGCUUGUUGAUAGAAACUAUUUCUAAGCCUGUUGGUAUCAGACCUCAUGCUCCGAUACUGUCUACCCGACGGUAAGGAGUGAACAGCAAGUGGCUGGGGUGUGUGUGUCCUUGAUGACACUACGGGCCUUCAUCAGGCACCGUUUCGAGUAGACAUCCAGGAUGGGUGGAAACACGGUUCCAGUGAUGUACGGGGCCGUCUUCACCACCUGCUGGAGGGCCUUGUGGUCGUGGACGGAGUAUUUCCCAUACCAGGCCGUGAUGCAACCGGUCAGGAUGCUCUCGAGUAUUUGGAGAGGACUCGGGGUGGCAUGCGGAAUUUCUUCAGUUGCCUUAGGAAUCAGAGACGCUGUUGCACCCUCUUGACAAGAGUGGUGGUGUUGUUGGUCUAUGUUAUGUCCUCUGUGAUGUGGAUGGCAAGGAACUUAACUGCUGACUCUCUACUGCAGUCCCAUUGAUAUAGUUUGUGGCACGUUCCCUCCUCUGCUUCCUGAAGUCAACAAUCAACUCCUUUUUUUGACUGACAUUGAGGGAGAGGUUGUUGUCCAGUGUAUAAUCCAAUAAUUGACUUACGCACAGUUCAGAUGCCAAACUUGUGGCAAGUUGAACUUUGGUUUGAUACAACUGCUCUCAACACCGCAGACUUUUUUAACCUUUAUUUAACUAGGCAAGUCAGUUAAGAACAAAUUCUUAUUUACAAUGACGGCCUAGGAACAGUGGGUUAACUGCCUUGUUCAGGGGCAGAAUGACAGAUCUUUACCUUGUCAGCUCAGGGAUUUGAUCGAGCAACCUUUCAGUUACUGGCCCAAUGAUCUAACCACUGGGCUACUUGCAGCCCCAACUUCCUUGUUGGUUUUGGGUCAAAUUCCUAAAAAGGCAAAGAAAGACGAUUCACACACCUGAGCUGCUACACUGUGAUGGAAUCACCCAGAUCACUCAAGCGUAAUUUGAGGUCAUUGUGAGACAAACUGGAAACAUGUCGAAGGAAGUUACAAUUGUGGAAGGAAAAAACUGAUAUCCAAUUUGUUACUUUCGAUUUGUUGACUGGGCGCCAAUGACAGCAUCCUGCGAUCCAUUGAUCUCUUUACUGCAUCUAUGCUCUUAACUAACCUUUCUUUGUCUACUAACAACCCACGAGUGGCCUGUACCUUGACAUGGUGAGUGGACUUCACACCAAGAUAGGUGAUUCAUUUAUAAUUUCUUCAUUUCUCAGACAACCACCUGUGUGUGCCCUUUCCCUCUCCCUUCAGCAGAAAUACUUACUGUAUGGAUCCAGGUGUGACUGUCACAGCUGCAACACAACUAUACAACACCAGAGACUUUGCAUAGCUGACUACAUUGGAGAUGCAGGCCGCUGACAUCACCUUUAUACUUUACUCUCUACAUUUGGGUUGCUGAGCUGCUGGUGAGAAACGGGUCAACAUAGCUGACCUGUGGAAUUUCACACUUCUGAGGCUGCAGCCAAGGGCAAAUAGCCAAGAGAUCUGCUGACGCUCAAGGUUAGUCUUCCUUCAAGAGAUCUGCUGAUGCUCAAGGAGGGAGACAUGGGCAUCCACGACCUGCUGGAAGGAGAUGCUUCCCUUCUGGAGCACGGGGCUGACGACAACUCAGGUGGAAGGAGGCCUCAUCUCCCUGCACAACGCAGCCUCAUACAGGAACAUGCAUAUUGUGGCCCUCCUGAUUAAGUUCAAUGAGCCUUUAACCCUCUCCACAAGGCAGCCCAGAAGGCUGGUGAUAUCUGUGCCCUGUUGAUGGACAUUAUGCCCCCAGGCACAGAGAAGAGGGAUUACCAGCUCAGCUCAAACUGUUCAAUCUCUGGAGGGGAUAACAAACAUUGCUCAAUCUUAUUGUAGAAAGUUGAUUUUGUACUGUUUAUCUUCACAGAGAUAACAUGAAAAAAAGCAUCUUAUAUGGUGAGCUACUGUAAUGGGUGUGUGUUGGUAGCAGGGAAGUCAGGCGCAGGAGAAUGAACUUGGUAUAAACGUAGUCGUUUAAUAAGUGCUGACCAAACUCCAAAAACCAAAAUAUAUAAAAAUAAAAAAGUGGGUACAAAACCCGUCGCACACCAACACAUACUAGCACAAUCACAUACAAUAAUACAAUCUCUGACAAGGAUAUGAGGGGAAACAGAGGGUUAAAUACACAACAUGUAAUUGAUGGGAUUGGAACCAGAUGUGAAGGAAAACAAGACAAAACCAAUGGAAAAUGAAAAAUGGAUCAGUGAUGGCUAGAAGGUCGGUGAUGUCGACCGCCGAACACCGCCCGAACACAGAGGGACCAACUUCGGUGGAAGUCGUGACAGCUACUGUGUGGCUAGGACAGGCAAGCCCCAUACUAUUGUGGAGGACUUAAUUCAUCCUGGUACUGCGGAUAUGGCUGGGACAACGCUGAGGGAAAAGGCCCAAAAAAACUGUACAGACAAUGCCUUUAUCAAGCAACACUUUCACGACGCAUCACUGAAAUGGCAGGAGAUGUUUUGAAAGAAUUACUGCUUCGCAUACAAGCCAGUGAAUUCUAUGCGUUACAGCUGGAUGAGUCAACAGACGUGGCGGGCCUGGCACAGCUCCUGGUAUAUGUCUGUUACGUUUAUGGGUGGUCAAUUAAGGAAGACAUCCUCUUCUGGAAACCAGGACAACAGGAGAGGAUAUUUUUUAAAGUACUGGACAGCUUUGUGACAUCAAAUGGACUUUGGUGGUCAAGAUGUGUUGGUA